GACGAACGCUGGCGGCGUGCUUAACACAUGCAAGUCGAACGGAAAGGCCCCUUUGGGGGUACUCGAGUGGCGCACGGGUGAGUAACACGUGAGUAACCUGCCCUUGACUUCGGGAUAACUUCAGGAAACUGGGGCUAAUACCGGAUAGGAAUCCUUGCUGCAUGGUGGGGGUUGGAAAGCUUCGGCGGUUUUGGAUGGACUCGCGGCUGAUCAGCUUGUUGGUGGGGUAGUGGCUUACCAAGGCUUUGACGGGUAGCCGGCCUGAGAGGGCGACCGGCCACAUUGGGACUGAGAUACGGCCCAGACUCCUACGGGUGGCAGCAGUGGGGAAUAUUGCUCCAUGGGCGGAAGCCUGAUGCAGCAACGCCGCGUGCGGGAUGACGGCCUUCGGGUUGUAAACCGCGUUCAGCAGGGGCGAAGCUUGUGGUGACGGUACCUGCAGAAGAAGCACCGGCUAACUACGUG
rnacentral:rRNA from 1 species